rnacentral:lncRNA from 1 species
AUUUUCCAGAGUCUUUAUGCUCGUGGUCUGGAGGUGAUAAGAGGAAGCAAAUAACAUAUUUGCCAACAGCCUCCCCCUGCCCCACAGAAUUCCACCAAAAUUCCCGUCCUUAAUUCAGAGUCCCUCUGGAUUCACAUCUGCCCUGCUGUGCCUUCCUCUGUACAGACAGCCAUCCUGCAAGGAUGCCUAAAUGGAUUUCCUGAAAUUGACAUUACCACGCCAAUAGAUUCCAGAUAGUUGCUUUGGCCCAAGAUCUCUUAGCUUUUUGAAUAGUUGACCCCACUCACCCCCACCACAGCACCCCAGACGCUUAGACCUCACCUCCUCAGACUGUGUUCAUGGAUAGAGGGGUUUAUUUUGGUUUCUAAACUAAGGCUAUUUCAUAGUGUUCACUAUAAGGAAUUGGAUUUUUUUUUCCUUGCUUUUUGCUUUUUAGGCUGCAUGUGCGGCAUAUGAAAGUUCCCAGGCUAGGGGUCAAAUCAGAGCUGCAGCUGCUGGCCUACACCACAGCCACAGCAAUGCUGGAUCCCCAACCCACUGGCCGAGGCCAGGGAUGAAACCUGCAUCCUCAUGGAUACUAGUCGGGCUCCUUACCGCCGAGCCAUGACAGGAACUCCAGAAACUAGAUCUUAACAUUCUUCCUCCGAGUGCAUUGGUCCUGGUCCCUUCAGAAAUAAUAUCUAAGUCCCAAGUGUGAAGUGAAGUGUUCCUUUUUGUAGGACUCCUAUCUCUUAGGUAUGUUCCAAAUGUCUUUCCUUCUAAACUCGUGUUUCUCAAAUGCUACUGUGCAGUAGAUCCCUGGGGGUCUAGUUAACAUGCAGCUGCUGGUGGGGCCUGAGGAUCUGCAUUUCCAGCCAACUCCUGGCUGCUGCUGCUGCUGCCACUGCCAUUCCCCAAGCCACACUAAAGAACGAGGCUGUAGGCUAUUGCCAGUGUCCUGCUCUUUCCAUGGUGCCCAGAACCACUCACUUCACCGCCUUUCCCUUCAAAAGCCCUCCUCUCCACUCUUCCGUUCCGGCCAGAGCAUUGCCAUGAGGCACUGAAGCCCAGAAAUGCCAGAUCGCCUGGUUGCAAAUGCUGACCUGUCACUUCCAUGAGAUGUCAAGCAUCCCUGGCGCUCCUUCCUUGUGCCACCAUCAGGCAAGAUGCAGGGGGUGGGAUCCGAGGACCCCUCCUCAGGGAGCUGCUGCCGAGUUGCUGCUCGCCACUUGCAAGGUCAAGGGCACAGAGAGAGAACCAGACAAGAAAGAAGAAAGGGCUCAGACNNNNNNNNNNNNNNNNNNNNNNNNNNNNNNNNNNNNNNNNNNNNNNNNNNNNNNNNNNNNNNNNNNNNNNNNNNNNNNNNNNNNNNNNNNNNNNNNNNNNNAAAGAAAGAAAGAAAGAAAACAGAAUAGCUGGGGGAGGAGAGCAUGGUGUGUGCCUAAGAAGAGAGGCCACAACUGGAUCACCCCAAGUGGGCUGAGCCACUUACCAGGUGCCAACACCUGCUGGCCAGCCUCAUUCCUGUGUCUUGGGAGGAAGAGAAAGAGGUCAAGAGUUUACUUAAUUCGCCACAAACCCACUUUUUCUGAACCAACCUAACAACUUUUUCUCUUCGGGAGGCAGAACAUAGACCUCCCUCAAAAGAGCCAAAGCCUCAAGAAAUCUUUUCAGGUCUCACCUCCUAUUAUUUUUCUUCAAGAAGUUACUUGUUUUGAUUAGAUGCCUCCAGCUCUUGUUCUGAGGCCUCUUUACCUGGCAUCCACCUCUCUGCCUGUCCGUUCUCUCUGAUGCUCUGAUAGGACGCUGCUCAGUUUGAUCUUUCCGUAGCCUCUGAAGAUCCUUUUUCCAAAAUCACUGUGACUGCUGUGCAGGCAGUGGGCCCAGAACCCUGGAACCCAGGCUUGGAAAAGUGCCUGAGACAUUCAUCUGGGAAGGAAGUUCAGACAUGUUGGCUGUGUCAAAGUAAAGCUGUAUGUCUGAGUCAGCUAUUGCUGUGUAACAAGCAGUCCCUAAAUCUCAGUUGUAAACAACAAUAAGCACUGAUUUCUCACCUAUCUGUUCAUAUUGGGGCCCAGAUUGAGAGAGUAACAGCUACAAAAGGGAAGGUCUUUUUGUGGUAAUGGUAGAUAUAUAAUAGGACAAAAAAAAAAA